rnacentral:rRNA from 1 species
GACGAACGCUGGCGGCAUGCCUAACACAUGCAAGUCGAACGAGCCUUUCGGGUCUUGUUUUUUUCGGUUGCUUACCGCCUGGUAACCUGCCCUUAGGUUCGCUACCUCUCCCCGAAAUGGAUCUUCUUACCGCAUAUUGUCUUCGCCCCAAAGAUUUAUCGCUUUUGGAUUGGCUCGCUCUGGAUUAUCUAGUUGGUAAUGUAAAAGCCUAUCAAGGCGACGAUCCAUAGCUGGACUGAGAGGAUGAACAGCCACACUGGGACUGAGACACGGCCCAGACUCCUACGGGAGGCAGCAGUGGGGAAUAUUGGACAAUGGAGGGAAGUCUGAUCCAGCAAUGCCGCGUGAAGGAAGAAGGCCUUAGGAUUGUAAAGCUCUUUUACCAGGGAUGAUAAUGACAGUACCGGAAGAAAAAGCUCCGGCUAACUCCGUG